AAUCAUCGACAGACAUCCAUCUUCUUCCUCUAAUAAACCCAUCUUCUUCCUCGCCCUUCUCCUACCCUAUCUUCCGAAAUCAAGUAUCUGUCAACUCCCUUCUCCUCCCCAAACCUUCAUAUCCGUAUAGCUGUUUUCUGCUGUAAUAUAGUAGUAGCAGGGUUGUUGUGUAGUUUUAUCAGGUUCUUUUUUGUAGUUGUAGUUGUAUUCUGCUCUUUUAAUUUUGUUUGUAUUGGUUUUAUUUAAUCUCUGAUUUCCUUUUCCCUAUCAACACCAGGGCAUUGGUUUUUAAUCGUCGAUUUAAUCUCUGAUUUCAUUUUCCCUAUGUUCAAUUGUUUCACUCUACCUUUUUUUCUUUUAGCUCAAUGGAUAUGAUCCCUUUGUCGUCGUCGUCUCCAGAAUUGAGUAUUCAAGCUGCCGACCAGAAUAAGUCGUUGGAUGUUAUCAUGUCGUCUCUAGUGUCAUCCAAUUUUAUGUUCCUAAAUUCGAUCACACUUUUUGGACAUAAGAUAGGACCUGUUACUGCUCAAUCAGCACCGUUAAUUUUAAUCUUAAUGAUAUACUGUGUUUGAAAAUCUGUCUUGUUUAUCCCCUAAUGACGACGAGGGUAGUAUUGUAAAAUUCAGAUAGAUAAGAUCAAAUAUCUUAUUAGUUAUAAAAUUAUAAUUAUAAUUAAAAUUAUAGUUAUAAUCAUAAAUAUUAAUUAUAAACUAAUCUUAACCAUUUGGUUUUCUUUUAUUUGAGUUUUAAAUCAAACAGGAUAAAAGAGUUGCAGCCCAUAAGCAUAAUGGACCGGCCCAGAAG
rnacentral:lncRNA from 1 species